AUGGCGGUGAUGCUCGGGGUCCAUGGAGGGGCACCGAGGCAAGCAGGCAACGAGGCAGGGGCGACGGGUCCUUGUGGCCGGCAGGAGAGGUUCGAGACGGCAGCGGCGAGACAAGGUGCGGCGGAGCGCCAUGGCACUGGCAGCGGCACCUGCGAGCAAAGGCGUCCGCAGGGCGGCAGAGCAGCAACGGCAAAGGCGGACGCGGAGGAGAAAGGAGGGCAUGGGCAGGGAGGCCCUGGUGGUGCAGGGACGAAGCAGCAGGGCGUUGGCGCAGGUCGUCGACGGUGA
rnacentral:rRNA from 1 species